rnacentral:rRNA from 1 species
UACGGAGGUGGCAAGCGUUGUUCGGAAUUACUGGGCGUAAAGGGCGCGUAGGCGGCAUGGCAAGUCAGGUGUGAAAGCCCCGGGCUCAACUCGGGAACUGCAUCUGAAACUGCCUUGCUUGAGUCCUGGAGGGGGUAGUGGAAUUCCCAGUGUAGCGGUGAAAUGCGUAGAUAUUGGGAGGAACACCGGUGGCGAAGGCGGCUACCUGGACAGUGACUGACGCUGAGGCGCGAAAGCUAGGGGAGCGAACGGGAUUAGAAACCCCCGUAGUCC